CACCGAGUCCGCGGUCCCGGCCAUCACCGGGACCAGGUGCAAAAGGGA
rfam:Streptomyces sp. CB01249 scaffold3, whole genome shotgun sequence.